ACAGGGAUCGUCCUGACUCUGCCAAUCCUGGGUCUCCCUUCUGCUUUGGCCUUCAGCCCUGAUGGUGGCGGCCAGCUCCCCAAGGGGUGGCGGCUUCUGCCUCAACAGGACCGGCCUCGGGGCAGCUGCCGGGCCCAGGGAGCAGCUCUGCCAGCGCCCGGCAGGCCAGGAGCAGAUGCUGAAAGUCCACAGCCACCCAGAGGCAGGGGUUAAGACCCCAGAGUCGAGAAUCAGGGUUUGGGUCCUAGCUGUUCUGCUGCCCAGGUACACGAUCAUGGGCACAUUCCUCAACCUCCCGACCUUCACCUGAAAAAUGAAGAUUGUAAAUUUUCCAGGUAAGCUACUUAACGUUAUGUGUGCCUGGCUCCCAGGGUGUGUUCAAAACAUGCUUGUUGUUCUGGUUACGAUUAUAAAGAGAGAGGAAAUUCACCGAUCACACCCCUUUAUCUGGCCUCUCAAAGCUCAGUGCUAAUGGACUGGAAACUGAACUGUGAACCACUCACUUCCAACCCAGGAAUUCUUCCACUUUCUCACCUAUUUGCCAUUAGAGAUUUUUUUUCUUUCUUUUCAAGCACCCAGAGACACUGAGAGUUUCUCCUGACGGUCUGAUUUAGGUAAAUUGCAAGGGUGGCCUGUGAAACUUCUGGCAGAAGCCCUGGCAGAUAAAGCUCCACUCCUGAGGCCGUGGAAGAAAAGACCAAAUGCCUCUCACAAGUAGGGUCCCGGCGACCUCAAGAGACGGCCCAGCACACCACCUUCACUCCUGUCCUUGUUCCACAGUUAGGUUGCAACCUGCCUCUCCUCACCUCCCCCAGCCCCGCCUGAACGGACCUGGUCCACCUACCCGCAACUGACCCCCACUCACCGCCCCCCCCCCCCGGUCACGCUGCUUUUCUUUCUUUCCCUCAAAUGCCCCAAGGAUUCCACCCCAGGGCCUUUGAACUUGCUGUGCCUGCCGGCAGAUGCACUCUCCCCGGGAUCUGUGCAAGGCUGGCUCCCUUUCAUCCCUCAGGUCUGUCCUCAGAAGUCACCUCCUCAGAGGUUAUGCCACCACACUUCAUUUGCAAGUCAAGCAGCCUGUUUUCUUGUCUUCACAACGCCUCUCUGUACUUUGAAUUGUCUUAUUUAUGUGUUUACAAGUUUCUUGUCUGUAUUCUCCGAGGAGGACAAAGCUGUUGAGUGGUACACACUGUAAAGUUCCCGAGCGCAGAGGAUGACGCGCUGGGAGGAGAGAGGAUGCGGGGGGGGGGGGGACCUCAUGGACAUGGUGGCUACCAACGGCGCUGCUGUUUGGGUAGCUGAAGGAUGGGAACGGCAUUGCGGAAAGAAACAGCACAGAUACCAAGGAACUUGCUCAAAGUUGUACUGGGGGGGGGGGGGCCAGAACCAGAAUUUGCACACAGAGCGAGUUCAAAGUCUACUGUCUGUUGACCUGAAACAAAAAGACUGCCAGAUCUAUUUCUCCAGCAAAGGUGGGUUUAUCUGAGAUCAGCAGAGGAUGGCAAUUUGGGGUCCGCAACCAUGGUGAGCUACGGGGCAAGUCCCUGCACAGCAAGGGAAUGAAAAUGCUUUUAUCAAGAGGAAGAGGGAGCUGGGAGGGCUAAAGUAAACAGAGUCCACGGCUUUUCAUUGGCUGAGCCCUGGCCUGGGAAGAAGCGGAGUCUUCCUUCUUCCUGUUGGGUUCUGCUGUUCUCACAGGAUGUGAGAGCUCCCCCUCUGGGCUCCCGACUCUUUUUCAUUGAGGUUUCUGUUUAUUAAUUUUUGACAAGUCUUAAUUAUUCACUAUAUUGUCUCGUUCCAAGAUAUUUACUGUGGUAAUGUUUAUAACAGCAGAAAGGUACCUUUUGAUAUCUUUUCCUUGAAACUUUUUCUGUAAGAAAUAGCUUGCCCUUUUGAGAAUUCAUCUCACACAUCACCCCGUUAGCAUUAAAGGCACUGAGGAAUCUAAAAAAAUCCCUCUCAGGCACUUUGCCAGUCGGUAUUCUUCCUCAAAACCCAGAACCUUAGUCUAAUCAUGAGGAAACAUCAGACAAACCCAAAUUAAGGAACAUUCUACAAAAUAUCUGGACAGCACUCUUCAGAACUGUCAAGGUCGUGAUAAACAAGGAGAGACUGAGAAACUGUCAAAGACUGGAGAGACUAUGGGGACGCGAAGACUAAGUGCCAGGUGGGAUCCUGGGCUGGAUCCUGGAACUGAAGAAGGACAUUAAUGGACAAACUGAUGAAAUCCAAAUAUGGCUGGAGUCUAAUCGGCGGUACUGACCAAUGUUAAUUCCUUAGCUUUGACAAACCUACCACGAUCAUGAAAGAUGCUAAUAUUAGUGGAAACCACAUGGAGGAAAUAUAGGAAUUCUGUAUUGCAACUUGUCUUUAAAACUAGAAUUAUUACAAAAUAUAAAAGUUUAUUUAAAAAGGAAAUGUGUUUUUAAAAUAAAGAUAAAUA